UUAUAACCCCGGUUGCAGUGGAAAUCCUUUAAAAACUCGCGGCGGCUGCGCCGCCGCGAGUUUUUAAAAGAUUGUAACGGAAAACGGGACCACUU
rnacentral:sRNA from 1 species